CCUACGGGUGGCAGCAGUGAGGAAUAUUGGUCAAUGGACGAGAGUCUGAACCAGCCAAGUAGCGUGAAGGAUGACUGCCCUAUGGGUUGUAAACUUCUUUUAUAUGGGAAUAAAGUGCAGUAUGUAUACUGCUUUGCAUGUACCUUAUGAAUAAGGAUCGGCUAACUCCGUGCCAGCAGCCGCGGUAAUACGGAGGAUGCGAGCGUUAUCCGGAUUUAUUGGGUUUAAAGGGUGCGCAGGCGGAAGAUCAAGUCAGCGGUAAAAUUGAGAGGCUCAACCUCUUCGAGCCGUUGAAACUGGUUGUCUUGAGUGAGCGAGAAGUAUGCGGAAUGCGUGGUGUAGCGGUGAAAUGCAUAGAUAUCACGCAGAACUCCGAUUGCGAAGGCAGCAUACCGGCGCUCAACUGACGCUCAUUCACGAAAGUGUGGGUAUCGAACAGGAUUAGAUACCCCAGUAGUC
rnacentral:rRNA from 1 species